CCUACGGGAGGCAGCAGUGGGGAAUUUUGCGCAAUGGGGGAAACCCUGACGCAGCAACGCCGCGUGAGUGAUGAAGGCCUUCGGGUCGUAAAGCUCUGUCGGAGGGGAAGAAGUGUAUGGGUGCUAAUACCAUCUAUACUUGACGGUACCCUCAAAGGAAGCACCGGCUAACUCCGUGCCAGCAGCCGCGGUAAU
rnacentral:rRNA from 1 species